GGACGCGGCUGUGCCCGCGACUUCCCGCGGGCACCCCGAGGCCCCUCGCAAAGUCUCGCCCCAUUCCGAGUCCGGCGGACGAACUUCGACCGCGCCCCCCACCAAGGCUAUAGCCCACCCGUUUUUUGGCCAUUUUUCCGCUGGGGGGUUUUGGCACCACGACCUUCGGGCGCUUAUUUUUGGACGCGGCUGUGCCCGCGACUUCCCGCGCGCACCUCGAGGCCCCUCGCAAAGUCUCACCCCAUUCCAAGUCCGGCGGACGAACUUCGCCCGCGCCCCCCACCAAGGCUAUAGCCCACCCGUUUUUUGGCCAUUUUUCCGCUGGGGGGUUUUGGCACCACGACCUUUGGGCACAUAUUUUUGGGCGCGGCUUUGUCCGCGGCUUAUUUUUGGUACCCCGAGGCCCCUCGCAAAGUCUCGCCCUAUUCCGAGUCCGGCGGACGAACUUCGCCCGCGCCCCCCACCAAGGCUAUAGCCCACCCGUUUUUUGGCCAUUUUUCCGCUGGGGGGUUUUGGCACCACGACCUUCGGGUGCUUAUUUUUGGGCGCGGCUUUGGCCGCGGCUUAUUUUUGGUACCCCGAGGCCCCUCGCAAAGUGUCGCCCUAUUCCGAGUCCGGCGGACGAACUUCGCCCGCGCCCCCCACCAAGGCUAUAACCCACCCGUUUUUUGGCCAUUUUUCCGCUUGGGGGUUUUGGCACCACGACCUUCGGGCGCUUAUUUUUGGACGCGAUUGUGCCCGCGACUUCCCGCGGGCACCUCGAGGCCCCUCGCAAAGUCUCGCCCCAUUCCAAGUCCGGCGGACGAACUUCGCCCGCGCCCCCCACCAAGGCUAUAGCCCACCCGUUUUUUGGCCAUUUUUCCGCUGGGGGGUUUUGGCACCACGACCUUUGGGCACAUAUUUUUGGGCGCGGCUUUGUCCGCGGCUUAUUUUUGGUACCCCGAGGCCCCUCGCAAAGUCUCGCCCUAUUCCGAAUCCGGCGGACGAACUUCGCCCGCGCCCCCCACCAAGGCUAUAGCCCACCCGUUUUUUGGCCAUUUUUCCGCUAUGGGGUUUUGGCACCACGACCUUCGGGCACUUAUUUUUGGACGCGGCUGUGCCCGCGACUUCCCGCGGGCACCCCGAGGCCCCUCGCACAGUCUCGCCCCAUUCCGAGUCCGGCGGACGAACUUCGCCCGCGCCCCCCACCAAGGCUAUAGCCCACCCGUUUUUUGGCCAUUUUUCCGCUGGGGGGUUUUGGCACCACGACCUUCGGGUGCUUAUUUUUGGACGCGGCUGUGCCCGCGACUUCCCGCGGGCACCUCGAGGGCCCCUCGUAAAGUCUCGCCCCCAUUCCGAGUCCGGGCGGACGAAUUUCGCCCGCGCCCCCCACCAGGGCUAUAGCCCACCCGUUUUUUGGCCAUUUUUCCGCUGGGGGGUUUUGGCACCACGAACUUCGGGCGCUUAUUUUUGAACGCGGCUGUGCCCGCGACUUCCCGCGUGCACCCCGAGGCCCCUCGCAAAGUCUCGCCCCAUUCCGAGUCCGGCGGACGAACUUCGCCCGCGCCCCCCACCAAGGCUAUAGCCCACCCGUUUUUUGGCCAUUUUUCCGCUGGGGGGUUUUGGCACCAAGACCUUCGGGCGCUUAUUUUUGGGCGCGGCUUUGCCCGCGGCUUAUUUUUGGCACCCCGAGGCCCCUCGCAAAGUCUCGCCCCAUUCCGAGUCCGGCGGACGAACUUCGCCCGCGCCCCCCACCAAGGCUAUAGCCCACCCGUUUUUUGGCCAUUUUUCCGCUGGGGGGUUUUGGCACCACGACCUUCGGGCGCUUAUUUUUGGACGCGGCUGUGCCCGCGACUUCCCGCGGGCACCCCGAGGCCCCUCGCAAAGUCUCGCCCCAUUCGCGAGUCCGGCGGACGAACUUCGCCCGCGCUCCCCACCAAGGCUAUAGCCCACCCGUUUUUUGGCCAUUUUUCCGCUGGGGGGUUUUGGCACCACGACCUUCGGGCGCUUAUUUUUGGACGCGGCUGUGCCCGCGACUUCCAGCGGGCACCCCGAGGCCCCUCGCAAAGUCUCGCCCCAUUCCGAGUCCGGCGGACGAACUUCACCCGCCCCCCCCACCAAGGCUAUAGCCCACCCGUUUUUUGGCCAUUUUUCCGCUGGGGGGUUUUGGCACCACGACCUUCGGGCGCUUAUUUUUGGGCGCGGCUUUGCCCGCGGCUUAUUUUUGGCGCCCCGAGGCCCCGCGCAAAGUCUCGCCCCAUUCCGAGUCCGGCGGACGAACUUCGCCCGCGCCCCCCACCAAGGCUAUAGCCCACCCGUUUUUUGGCCAUUUUUCCGCUGGGGGGUUUUGGCACCACGACCUUCGGGCGCUUAUUUUUGGACGCGCCUGUGCCCGCGACUUCCCGCGGGCACCUCGAGGCCCCUCACAAAGUCUCGCCCCAUUCCAAGUCCGGCGGACGAACUUCGCCCGCGCCCCCCACCAAGGCUAUAGCCCACCCGUUUUUUGGCCAUUUUUCCGCUGGGGGGUUUUGGCACCACGACCUUCGGGCGCUUAUUUUUGGACGCGGCUGUGCCCGCGACUUCCCGCGGGCACCUCGAGGCCCCUCGCAAAGUCUCGCCCCAUUCCGAGUCCGGCGGACGAACUUCGCCCGCGCCCCCCACCAAGGCU
rnacentral:lncRNA from 1 species